UCUAGAUUUAACUUUAGCCUGCAGCUUUGAUAUGUGCUGAGAGAAGGACAGUGUACCUUCUAGGCAUACUUCUAGCCAUACGUACUUGUAUGAGAAGACUACCUCAAACUCAGAGAUAAUAAUCACACCUGUUGGGAGAGGGGCAUUCUUCUUACCAAACCACAUGACCUUCGUUUCGAAGGGGUUCAGAACUAGAUUAAGGGCAGAGAAAGCUUGUUGGACACUAAGAAUGCUUUGUUGUAGAGCGUUUAACACAAAAUCCGGGGAGGGGCCAGUUGAGUAUAAGACUAAGAUUCUGUGCCCUCAGUUUCCAAGCCAGUUACCUCGGGACAAACACAGCUGUAGGCUAUUUGUGCACAGGAUAAGAAGUAAUCAGGGCUACUCUACCGCCCUGCAAACUCUGACAACGCCACCUUCUCCUUCCAGCUGGACAGCUACGAGGCCAUGAACCUCCAGCACCAGAACACUGCUCAACAAGAUGGCUGGCCUCGCCUGAUGACGUCACCUCCUGUUCCUAAACUACAAGAAAUGGCUGCAGGAUUUGAGAUUGUUGCACUUUGAAACUGAACAGUUAUGGUUUGAUAAAUCUCAGCAUCCAGUUCAAGCAUGUGGCAUGGCCACACUAACAAGAGACUAGGAUUGGACUAAUGGACUUUUGUACCGAACAAGAGCACAAUUCAGUUGUUAUAGUAUGUUUCUGUGGAAUAUACAUGAUGUUUGAAUGUAAAUGUAAGCCAGGAAUGCCACUGUCAAUACUCUUAUAAGGGUGUUUGCUGUGCAAACAGAUUAAUCAAGAACAUGGUAGUCCGUGUAUGAGGGCAUAUAGUAGUGCUGCUGAACAUAUUGUAGGGAAAU